rnacentral:rRNA from 1 species
UACAGAGGUCCCAAGCGUUGUUCGGAUUCACUGGGCGUAAAGGGUGCGUAGGUGGCGAGGUAAGUCGGAUGUGAAAGCUCGGAGCUCAACUCCGAAAUGGCAUUGGAAACUACCUUGCUCGAGGAUUGGAGGGGGGACUGGAAUACUUGGUGUAGCAGUGAAAUGCGUAGAUAUCAAGUGGAACACCAGUGGCGAAGGCGGGUCUCUGGACAGUUCCUGACACUGAGACACGAAGGCCAGGGGAGCAAACGGG